UGGCUCGAUGCGUGGAUAUGAAUAGAUUAAAGAUGUUUGGAAUGAAAAGUCAUGACUGUCAUGUAUUAAUGCAAAAACUUAUUCCAAUAGCUUUCCAUGACUUACUUCCUUAAAAUGUUUGACAAACACUCACUGAAUUGAGUCUAUUUUUUAGAGAUUUGACUGCGAGGUGUAUUAUGAGGGAUGAUAUGCUUUGGCUAAAAACAGAUAUUCCUCUCAUAUUAUGUAAGCUGGAGUUCAUAUUUUCACGUAGUUUUUUUUAUUCAAUGGAACAUCUACCAGUACAUUUACCAUACGAGGCACAAAUAGUAGGUCCUGUGCAGUACAAAUCGAUGUAUCCAUUCAAAUGGUUUUUGAGAAAAUUAAAAAAUAAUAUUCGUAACAAAGCAAGAGUUGAAGGGUCAAUAUGUAAUGCUUAUCUAGUUAAAGAAGUAUAUUCUUUCUUCUUAUAUUAUUUUGCUGAUAGUGUGCAAACAAGAUAUCACAAGUGUCCUAGAAAUUCUGAUUAUGCUCCCUAACCGAUAGACCCAUCGAUGCUUUCUAUUUUCAAGUUUCCUGGUAAGUCAAUGGGUGCAUUGCUUUCUAGAUGGUUAACCGAACAAAGAAUAUCAUGCUACAAGAACAUACAUACUCUUAAACUGUGAAGAGGUCAAACCAUACAUAAAGUAAGUUAACUUCUCUAAUCAAACAUUUAUCCUCCAUUUAAUUAUUUUAUUUGAUAUCCAAAAUUUUAUAUAAUUACUUUAUUUUCCAUCUUGUACAAACAAUAACUGUAUCUACAAAACCCAUCAAUUGGUGCAAGUGAGAUAUCUGCAAAGUUAGAGAUCAAAUUUACAUUAUGGUUUCAAAUAUAUGUAAGUUAGAGAAUGUGUAAAAUUUUUUUAGUUCAUGUCUAUUAAGAAGUGUCCUAUUUUAUAUCAUAACUAUUUUUAUAGGUGAAAGACUGUAGAAUAUCAAAUGUGCAAGAUGAUAAGAUAAUAAAUAUUGCAUCAGGGCACCUCUAUAAAAUAAAGGUGUACUUUGGUUACUAUGUUAAUGGUCUUAAAUUCCACGUGGCACAACGAGAUUCAUGGAGAUUAACCUAUAAUUCUAGUGUUUGCAUCAAAGGAUCUAUAGACAACAAUAAUACUGGUUUGAUUACUAUGGUAGACUUGACGAAAUCAUAGAGAUUGAAUAUCCUGCAUUACCUAUAAGAGGUGUGUGUUGUUCAAAUGUUCAUGGAUGGUUCGACCCCAACAAUAGGUACCAAAAUACAUCUAAAUUAUAAUUUAGUUGAAGUUAAUGUAAACAAAAGAUUCAACAAGUUUGAACCUUUCAUUUUCGGGGUAUAAGCGGGUCAUGUUUUCUAUCUUGAAUACCCUAUGAAGAGAAGAAGAUCUAGUGAAUGGUUGUCUGUUUGUUGAAUCAUGCCUCGCUCGACCAUAGAGAUGCCGAACACAAUCACUGCUCAAAAUCAUGAUGCAUUUCAGAAUGAUGAAGUGGAGAGACAUUCAGUUGAUUUACAACUCCAAUCUACUUCUCAAUUACUUAUAGAUGUUAAUAUCACUUACGAAGAGAUAGAUGAUGGAGAGAUGUACAAUAGUGAGGAUGAAGUUGAACUAAGCUCAUUUAGCGAUGAGGACAUAAAAACUGUUAAUGUUAAUUUGUCAGAUGUUAAUGAUGAUUAAAUAUUAACAUUAUUAUUCAUCAAGUAAGUUAUGCUUCCAUAUUAUUUUGUAUUUAUAUUAUCAUGUUUUUAAACCUUAUUAUGAUGUGAUGUGUUGUAAUGUUAUUUUGUAGAUAUUAUUAUGGCAGAGCAGUAGGCUAUAGCAUCUCGUGGCUAUAAGGUCCUUAAAGUUAUCAGGGUUCACUCUAGAUGGCCACUGAGUUGUCACAUAUAUCACUGAAAAAUUUAAGGAACGAGUUUGCGAGUUUGGUACUACAUGGAAGCAUAUAGACCAGGAGAUGAAGCUAUUUUAUUAUAAUAAAUUUAUGAAAAGAUAUACAUGGGAGGACGAGCAAGAAGAGAAAUUUAAAGCUACAUGGAAUACUUACUGCGCCAAACUUUACAGAGAUCAUAUAUACUAUAUGAGAAAGAAGGGCACUAGGCCUGCGUAUGUUUCUGAGGCUAUAUGGAGUGCAUGGAUGACCACCUGGGCUAUAGAAAGGUGACAAACAAAUACUGAAAAGGCAAAAGAGAAUAGAAAUAUAGAACCAGGUGACCUGAGCACUAGAACAACUCAGCAUAUGUCAGGUCUCAAAUCCAUUGUUGAGCAUGCCAUAGACCUGGAGCGUGAGCUUACCCGACAACCCACGUGUAUGAAGGUCAUUCUAAAGACCUAUAAGAAGAAGGAUGAGUCAUUUGUUAAUUCUCGAUCUCAGACUCUACAUCAACAAAUGACAGAUAGGGUGACUUAAGCAUCUCAGCUAUCAUCAGAGAGCGGAAAGUCAGUCUCUAUCCACCGAUGCUCUAAAUGAGAUUUAUUAUGAUGUUAUCGGUGGAAGGACAAAAAACUCUACCCUCUACGACCUUGGGUCUCAUGCCAAAGUUGCAUUUGAUUGUUUGAGGAAUCCAAUGGGUUGCUUUGCUAGUUCCUCUUCUUCUAGUGAGAUGUAGUCUUUAAGAUGUGAAAAUCAAGAACUGUGUACUCAAUUAAAAUCAAUGGAUCAGAGGAUGCCGACAUGGAUCGGUGGAGAGCUGAUGAGGAGAAGAAGAGAGCCGAACAUGGCAAGAGUAAUGAAGCUAUGACGGCCCAGAUGUGAGUGAUCGUGGCUAAUUUCACUUCGACAUCACAUGGUUUUGAGUCACAGGAGACUCAAGAUCCAUCAGAUGGUGAUGACUAGCUUUUUCUGAGGUUUGUUCAACUAUACUUUAGUUUUUGAUUUAUCAUAUAUAGAUCGUGGUAAUAUAUUUAUUCUGUUUUGAUAUUAUAAUAUGUUUUUUCUAAAUAUUUUAUUACUAUAUGUUUCAAGAAUCACGUUCGGUUCUAUUCAUAUUGGCUCUUCAUGUCAUCAUAUGCUCAUUUUUGUUUUAGGUAUCAUUUCAUAUAAAAUUCGCUAUACAUAUAUAUGCAAACUGUUUAUUUAUACAUUAAUAUGAUCAUUUUGUAUUUGACUUUCUACAUGAUUUUCUUUAUUAUAUAGUGUUCUUGUAUUAUUUGGAGUACUUUUUAUUGCGGUAUGUAUUUUGUAA